AACGCACCUUGCGCCCUUUGGUAUUCCGAAGGGCAUGCCUGUUUGAGUGUCAUUAAAUUAUCAACCCAAAAAGUUUAUUCUUUUUGCGGCUUGGACUUGGGGGUUUGCUGGCUUCCUUCAGUGGAUGGUCUGCUCCCCUUAAAUGCAUUAGCGGGAUCUCUUGUGGACCGUCACUUGGUGUGAUAAUUAUCUAUGCCACGUUGACUUUGAAGCAAAACUUAUGGGAACCUGCUUAUAACCGUCCCUUGUGGACAACUUUAUUGACAAUUUGACCUCAAAUCAGGUAGGACUACCCGCUGAACUUAA
rnacentral:misc_RNA from 1 species